AGUGGCGGCGCAGUAUUCUAGUCAGAUCCUCUGUUUCCUAGGGAGGGCCUAAAAAUCCUCUGAAGGGCACACCGAUGAAACCUCUGGUGCCUGCUUGAUACGCCCAGUUUUGGGUGGGUGCUGGGGGGAAGUGCGCCACGCGCGCUUGCGGACUCAGGGCGCUUUCCAAUGGCAUGGUUAACCCGACCCUGUUUCCGUGGAGACCUGUUCUUGUGCACAGUCGUACUCCCAUCGUGGUAUUUCCGAGCUGUGUACGAAGCAGAUGUGAACCUGCAAUGCGGUGCAUCGGCCCUGCGGGGCCGUAACGCUGUGUGCAGAUGUAGCCUGCCUUGCGUGGAUAUGGCGGAUGAGAGGCCAGGCCGUUUUGCUCCCGGCCGGAGCGAACGGCCCCUUGCUCUUUGAAACCAUGUCUGCAAAAGAGGCUAAAGAAGCGGAUGGACUGUGGUGGAAAUCACCUAGGCUGUUCCAUCGAGGCAGAAAAGGGAUUGCAGUGCGGACUAAGUGGCAAUCGGGUAGCGUGUUCGGGCGACGUCACGCCGCGGCGACAAAGGGGGAACCGCCUCCAUCGGCAACGAGAGGUGCGCCGCGGGGAAAACCAACCCGUACCUAAGCCGUAAGAUUUACCUUUUCUGUUGCCGCCA
rnacentral:sRNA from 1 species